UCCUCAAUUUGAUUAGCAGAACAUUCAGCAGGAACUGUGGAAAUCCAAGUCAAGUAAUAUUCUCAACAGAUGAUGCAUAUCAUAAAUUAUUACUCACCCCAUGUUCCCACCCUCGAGAGACCUCCAAACAAUCACCAUGCCACAGUGAACAUUCAGUAACAAAAAUUCAGCCAGGGUUUUCACCAGCAUGAAUGGCAGUGAUUCCAAUCAGGAAAACAGAAAGAGGAGAGUUCAGAGCCACCUAGAAUGGCUCUUGCAAGAUACGAAAUCAAGGCAGCAGCAACAGGGCUGAACAUUCCUCAUCCCUAACUCUCCCUUCACCAGUAGGAAACCCAGGAUAACUGCAAUCACCGCAGGCCCAUCUGGCCUGAAGUUCUACUACUAGUAGCCCUCCAUGGGACCUUCUUAAGGAAGCAUGUCAACUCAGGUAAGGGAUGUAAGGGGAUGGAUGACCCUUUGAGGCCAAAGUUGGAGCAAAAAACACCAGAUGUUCCUGUGCACUGCUCCUAAGAGAUGGUUCUGAAGACCAGUUCGGGGAGAGGUCAAAAUACUGGACAGAAUCUCAGCAACAUGGAACCUCAAACUAAGUGACAGUCACAGACAACUCUUCCCCAAAGAAAAUAAGCACAGACAUGGUUUGUGGUAAGCAGAAUUAUAAAGAUGAAUUCCCAUCUCCCUGUCAGAUUACCAGUAUGGUAAAUUACCAGAUUACCUGGUUAUUUAUUCAAACACUAAUACAGUUAUUGCCUUGAUGGAAACAUACAGAUACAAUUAAAAUCCCAAGUACCAAAUAAAUUGACCUUAAGACAAAGACUAAGUAAAUCACAUGAGCCCUCUACAAGCAGAGAGUUUUUCUCCAGCUGGUAGCAGAAGCCAGAGAUUUGAAGCAUAGGAAGUAUUCAACACAUUAUUGCUGGCCUGAAAAUGGAAGGGGCCACAUAACGAGGGAAACCGGUGGCCUCUAGAAGCAGGGAGCAGUCCCCUGCUGACAGACAGCAAGCCAAGACCUCAGUUCUACAAUUGCAAGACACUCAAUUCUGCUAAGGACAAAAAUGAGCUUGGAAGUGAACUCUGAGCUUCAGGUGAGAACACGGCCAAACAACACCUUGAUUUCAGCUUAAACAAAGAAUGCAGCCACUCCAUGCCAGAAUUCUGACCUGUAGAAAUUUGAGCUAAUAAAUAGAUGUUUUAAUAGCUUCAUCGAUACAUACUUCACUUACUGUAAAAUUCAUUAUUUUAAAGUGUACAAUUCAGUGGUUUUCAGUAUAUCCACAAAAUGCAACCAUCACCACUAUCUGAUUUCAGGAUUUCUUUUUCUUUUCUUUUUUUUUUAAUCCCAUAAAGAAAAUCCAAACCAAUUAGCAGUCUUUCUUCCUUCUCCCUGCUCCCAGCCCGUGAAAACCACUAAAUUACUGUCUGUUUCCAUGGAUAUG
rnacentral:lncRNA from 1 species